rnacentral:rRNA from 1 species
AUACUGCCGUGCUUGAGGACUGGAGAGGAGACUGGAAUUUACGGUGUAGCGGUGAAAUGCGUAGAUAUCGUAAGGAAGACCAGUGGCGAAGGCGGGUCUCUGGACAGUUCCUGACGCUGAGGCACGAAGGUCAGGGGAGCAAACGGGAUUAGAUACCCCGGUAGUCCUGACAGUAAACGGUGCACGUUUGGUGUGGGAGGAUUCGACCCCUUCUGCGCCGAAGCUAACGCGUUAAACGUGCCGCCUGGGGAGUACGGUCGCAAGAUUAAAACUCAAAGAAAUUGACGGGGGCCCGCACAAGCGGUGGAGUAUGUGGCUCAAUUCGAUGCAACGCGAAGAACCUUACCUGGCCUUGACAUGCAUCUCUAAGCUGGUGAAAGCCAGUGAGUCCCGAAAGGGACAAUUUGCACAGGUGCUGCAUGGCUGUCGUCAGCUCGUGUCGUGAGAUGUUGGGUUAAGUCCCGCAACGAGCGCAACCCCUGUGAACUGUUGCCACCGAGCCGUGAGGCUCGAGCACUCUGUUCAGACUGCCCCGUUCUAACGGGGAGGAAGGUGGGGACGACGUCAAGUCAGUAUGGCCCUUACGGCCAGGGCUGCACACGUACUACAAUGCCCAGUACAGAAGGAUCCUAGACCGCGAGGUGGAGGAAAUCACUAAAACUGGGCCCAGUUCAGAUUGGAGUCUGCAACUCGACUCCAUGAAGCCGGAAUCGCUAGUAAUGGCGCAUCAGCUACGGCGCCGUGAAUACGUUCCCGGGCCUUGUACACACCGCCCGUCACAUCAUGGAAGUCACUUGUAGCCGAAGUCGGCGUGCUAACCGCAAGGAGGCAGUCGCCUACGCUAUGAGCGGUAACUGGGAUGAAGUCGUAACAAGGUACCAAUCCCGCGG